UACGAAGGGGGCUAGCGUUGCUCGGAAUCACUGGGCGUAAAGCGCACGUAGGCGGAUUGCUAAGUCAGGGGUGAAAUCCUGGAGCUCAACUCCAGAACUGCCUUUGAUACUGGCAAUCUCGAGUCCGGGAGAGGUGAGUGGAACUGCGAGUGUAGAGGUGAAAUUCGUAGAUAUUCGCAAGAACACCAGUGGCGAAGGCGGCUCACUGGCCCGGUACUGACGCUGAGGUGCGAAAGCGUGGGGAGCAAACAGGG
rnacentral:rRNA from 1 species